GUAAGACCACACCUAGAGUACUACAUCCAGUAUUGGUCACUACACUAUAAAUAAGGAUGCUGAGACACUGGGAAGAGUGCAAAGAACA